UGGGGAAUAUUGCACAAUGGGCGGAAGCCUGAUGCAGCGACGCCGCGUGAGGGAUGACGGCCUUCGGGUUGUAAACCUCUUUCAGCAGGGACGAAGCGAGAGUGACGGUACCUGCAGAAGAAGCGCCGGCCAACUACGUGCCAGCAGCCGCGGUAAGACGUAGGGCGCGAGCGUUGUCCGGAUUUAUUGGGCGUAAAGAGCUCGUAGGCGGCUUGUUGCGUCGUCCGUGAAAACCUGGGGCUCAACUCCAGGCUUGCGGUCGAUACGGGCAGGCUAGAGUUCGGUAGGGGAGACUGGAAUUCCUGGUGUAGCGGUGAAAUGCGCAGAUAUCAGGAGGAACACCGGUGGCGAAGGCGGGUCUCUGGGCCGAUACUGACGCUGAGGAGCGAAAGCGUGGGGAGCGAACAGG
rnacentral:rRNA from 1 species